rnacentral:rRNA from 1 species
AGUCAGUCGGAGUAGACCCGAAACCGGGUGAUCUAUCCAUGUCCAGGUUGAAGUUGCCGUAAAAGGCAAUGGAGGACCGAACCCACAUCCGUUGAAAAGGGUGGGGAUGAGGUGUGGAUAGGGGAGAAAUUCCAAUCGAACCCGGAGAUAGCUGGUUCUCCUCGAAAUAGCUUUAGGGCUAGCCUCAUGCAAGUCUUACGGAGGUAGAGCACUGAAUUCCUAAGGGGGCGUCAAAGCUUACCAAGGGAUAUCAAACUCCGAAUGCCGUGUAGAUGGUGCAUGGGAGUCAGACUAUCCGAGAUAAGUUGGGUAGUCAAAAGGGAAAGAGCCCAGACCUACAGCUAAGGUCCCAAAAUGUGUGUUAAGUGGAAAAGGAUGUGGGAUUUCGAAGACAACUAGGAUGUUGGCUUAGAAGCAGCCAUCCAUUAAAAGAGUGCGUAAUAGCUCACUAGUCGAGAGGUCCUGCGCCGAAAAUGUCCGGGGCUGAAACACACUACCGAAGCUUAGGAAUUGAUGAAUGUCAAUUGGUAGAGGAGCAUUCUUACCGAGACGAAGCUGUACCGGAAGGAGCAGUGGAUUGGUAAGAAGAGAGAAUGCCGGAAUGAGUAGCGAGAGGAAGGUGAGAAUCCUUCCGGCCGAAUAUCUAAGGUUUCCAGAGUAAAGCUGAUCUGCUCUGGGUAAGUCGGGGCCUAAGGCGAGGUCGAAAGACGUAGUCGAUGGAUAACAGGUAAAGAUUCCUGUACUAUAUCAUAACAGAACUGUGGGGACGCAGACAGAGAGCAUAAGCCGGGAAUGGAAAGACCGGUACAAGCGAGGUAGGAGUGCAUCAGGCAAAUCCGGUGCACAAUCUGAAGACGUGAUGUGGGGCGUAAAGCCGGAAGUAUGUGAGCUGGCUGCCAAGAAAAGCCGCUAUUGUUUAUGAUAUACCCGUACCGUAAACCGACACAGGUGGAUGAGGAGAGAAUCCUAAGGCCGACGGGAGAAGCAUUGUUAAGGAACUCGGCAAAAUGACUCCGUAACUUCGGGAGAAGGAGUGCCAUGUAAAAGUGGCCGCAGAGAAUUGGCCCAAGCAACUGUUUAGCAAAAACACAGGUCUAUGCAAAACCGAAAGGUGAGGUAUAUGGGCUGACGCCUGCCCGGUGCUGGAAGGUUAAGGGGAGAGGUUAGCCGUAAGGCGAAGCUUUGAACUUAAGCCCCAGUAAACGGCGGCCGUAACUAUAACGGUCCUAAGGUAGCGAAAUUCCUUGUCGGGUAAGUUCCGACCCGCACGAAAGGCGUAAUGAUUUGGGCACUGUCUCAACAAUGCACCCGGUGAAAUUGAAAUACCAGUGAAGAUGCUGGUUACCUGCGCCAGGACGGAAAGACCCCAUGGAGCUUUACUCCAGCUUGAUACUGGGAUUCGAUAUUGCAUGUACAGGAUAGGUGGGAGACUUUGAACUGAUGACGCCAGUUGUCAGGGAGUCACUGUUGGGAUACCACCCUUGUAGUAUUGGAUUUCUAACCAGCAGCCGUGAACCGGCUGGGGGACAAUGUCAGGUGGGGAGUUUGACUGGGGCGGUCGCCUCCGAAAGGGUAUCGGAGGCGCUCAAAGGUUCCCUCAGAAUGGUUGGAAACCAUUCGAAGAGUGCAAAGGCAGAAGGGAGCUUGACUGCGACACCGACGGGUGGAGCAGGUACGAAAGUAGGACUUAGUGAUCCGGUGGUAUAAAGUGGGAUUGCCAUCGCUCAACGGAUAAAAGCUACCCUGGGGAUAACAGGCUUAUCACUCCCAAGAGUUCACAUCGACGGAGUGGUUUGGCACCUCGAUGUCGGCUCAUCGCAUCCUGGGGCUGAAGUAGGUCCCAAGGGUUGGGCUGUUCGCCCAUUAAAGCGGUACGCGAGCUGGGUUCAGAACGUCGUGAGACAGUUCGGUCCCUAUCCGGCGUGGGCGUAGGAUAUUUGAGAGGAGCUGCCCUUAGUACGAGAGGACCGGGGUGGACUGGCCGCUGGUGGAUCUGUUGUAUUACCAAAUGCAUAGCAGAGUAGCCAAGCCGGGACGGGAUAAACGCUGAAGGCAUCUAAGCGUGAAGCCCCCCUCAAGAUGAGAUAUCCCAUAACGUCAAGUUAGUAAGACCCCUUGAAGACGACGAGGUAGAUAGGGCAGAGGUGGAAGUGCGGUAACGCAUGGAGCUGACUGUUACUAAUAGGUCGAGGGCAUAACCAA